rnacentral:rRNA from 1 species
GGGUUGUGAGGUUAAGCGACUAAGCGUACACGGUGGAUGCCCUGGCAGUCAGAGGCGAUGAAGGACGUGCUAAUCUGCGAUAAGCGUCGGUAAGGUGAUAUGAACCGUUAUAACCGGCGAUUUCCGAAUGGGGAAACCCAGUGUGAUUCGUCACACUAUCAUUAACUGAAUCCAUAGGUUAAUGAGGCGAACCGGGGGAACUGAAACAUCUAAGUACCCCGAGGAAAAGAAAUCAACCGAGAUUCCCCCAGUAGCGGCGAGCGAACGGGGAGCAGCCCAGAGCCUGAAUCAGUGUGUGUGUUAGUGGAAGCGUCUGGAAAGGCGUGCGAUACAGGGUGACAGCCCCGUACACAAAAAUGCACAUACUGUGAGCUCGAUGAGUAGGGCGGGACACGUGGUAUCCUGUCUGAAUAUGGGGGGACCAUCCUCCAAGGCUAAAUACUCCUGACUGACCGAUAGUGAACCAGUACCGUGAGGGAAAGGCGAAAAGAACCCCGGCGAGGGGAGUGAAAAAGAACCUGAAACCGUGUACGUACAAGCAGUGGGAGCACGCUUAGGCGUGUGACUGCGUACCUUUUGUAUAAUGGGUCAGCGACUUAUAUUCUGUAGCAAGGUUAACCGAAUAGGGGAGCCGAAGGGAAACCGAGUCUUAACUGGGCGUUAAGUUGCAGGGUAUAGACCCGAAACCCGGUGAUCUAGCCAUGGGCAGGUUGAAGGUUGGGUAACACUAACUGGAGGACCGAACCGACUAAUGUUGAAAAAUUAGCGGAUGACUUGUGGCUGGGGGUGAAAGGCCAAUCAAACCGGGAGAUAGCUGGUUCUCCCCGAAAGCUAUUUAGGUAGCGCCUCGUGAAUUCAUCUCCGGGGGGUAGAGCACUGUUUCGGCAAGGGGGUCAUCCCGACUUACCAACCCGAUGCAAACUGCGAAUACCGGAGAAUGUUAUCACGGGAGGCACACGGCGGGUGCUAACGUCCGUCGUGAAGAGGGAAACAACCCAGACCGCCAGCUAAGGUCCCAAAGUCAUGGUUAAGUGGGAAACGAUGUGGGAAGGCCCAGACAGCCAGGAUGUUGGCUUAGAAGCAGCCAUCAUUUAAAGAAAGCGUAAUAGCUCACUGGUCGAGUCGGCCUGCGCGGAAGAUGUAACGGGGCUAAACCAUGCACCGAAGCUGCGGCAGCGACGCUUAUGCGUUGUUGGGUAGGGGAGCGUUCUGUAAGCCUGUGAAGGUGUACUGUGAGGUAUGCUGGAGGUAUCAGAAGUGCGAAUGCUGACAUAAGUAACGAUAAAGCGGGUGAAAAGCCCGCUCGCCGGAAGACCAAGGGUUCCUGUCCAACGUUAAUCGGGGCAGGGUGAGUCGACCCCUAAGGCGAGGCCGAAAGGCGUAGUCGAUGGGAAACAGGUUAAUAUUCCUGUACUUGGUGUUACUGCGAAGGGGGGACGGAGAAGGCUAUGUUGGCCGGGCGACGGUUGUCCCGGUUUAAGCGUGUAGGCUGGUUUUCCAGGCAAAUCCGGAAAAUCAAGGCCGAGGCGUGAUGACAAGGCACUACGGUGCUGAAGCAACAAAUGCCCUGCUUCCAGGAAAAGCCUCUAAGCAUCAGGUAACAUCAAAUCGUACCCCAAACCGACACAGGUGGUCAGGUAGAGAAUACCAAGGCGCUUGAGAGAACUCGGGUGAAGGAACUAGGCAAAAUGGUGCCGUAACUUCGGGAGAAGGCACGCUGAUACGUAGGUGAAGCGACUUGCUCGUGGAGCUGAAAUCAGUCGAAGAUACCAGCUGGCUGCAACUGUUUAUUAAAAACACAGCACUGUGCAAACACGAAAGUGGACGUAUACAGUGUGACGCCUGCCCGGUGCCGGAAGGUUAAUUGAUGGGGUUAGCGCAAGCGAAGCUCUUGAUCGAAGCCCCGGUAAACGGCGGCCGUAACUAUAACGGUCCUAAGGUAGCGAAAUUCCUUGUCGGGUAAGUUCCGACCUGCACGAAUGGCGUAAUGAUGGCCAGGCUGUCUCCACCCGAGACUCAGUGAAAUUGAACUCGCUGUGAAGAUGCAGUGUACCCGCGGCAAGACGGAAAGACCCCGUGAACCUUUACUAUAGCUUGACACUGAACAUUGAGCCUUGAUGUGUAGGAUAGGUGGGAGGCUUUGAAGUGUGGACGCCAGUCUGCAUGGAGCCGACCUUGAAAUACCACCCUUUAAUGUUUGAUGUUCUAACGUGGACCCGUGAUCCGGGUUGCGGACAGUGUCUGGUGGGUAGUUUGACUGGGGCGGUCUCCUCCUAAAGAGUAACGGAGGAGCACGAAGGUUGGCUAAUCCCUGGUCGGACAUCAGGAGGUUAGUGCAAUGGCAUAAGCCAGCUUGACUGCGAGCGUGACGGCGCGAGCAGGUGCGAAAGCAGGUCAUAGUGAUCCGGUGGUUCUGAAUGGAAGGGCCAUCGCUCAACGGAUAAAAGGUACUCCGGGGAUAACAGGCUGAUACCGCCCAAGAGUUCAUAUCGACGGCGGUGUUUGGCACCUCGAUGUCGGCUCAUCACAUCCUGGGGCUGAAGUAGGUCCCAAGGGUAUGGCUGUUCGCCAUUUAAAGUGGUACGCGAGCUGGGUUUAGAACGUCGUGAGACAGUUCGGUCCCUAUCUGCCGUGGGCGCUGGAGAACUGAGGGGGGCUGCUCCUAGUACGAGAGGACCGGAGUGGACGCAUCACUGGUGUUCGGGUUGUCAUGCCAAUGGCACUGCCCGGUAGCUAAAUGCGGAAGAGAUAAGUGCUGAAAGCAUCUAAGCACGAAACUUGCCCCGAGAUGAGUUCUCCCUGACCCUUUAAGGGUCCUGAAGGAACGUUGAAGACGACGACGUUGAUAGGCCGGGUGUGUAAGCGCAGCGAUGCGUUGAGCUAACCGGUACUAAUGAACCGUGAGGCUUAACCUUACAACGCCGAAG